rnacentral:tRNA from 2 species
GCACUAGUAGUGUAGCGGUUAUCAUUCUAGCCUUCCAAGCUUGAGACCGGCGUUCGACUCGCCGCUAGUGCA